rnacentral:rRNA from 1 species
AUUGAACGCUGGCGGCAUGCCUUACACAUGCAAGUCGAACGGUAACGCGGGGCAACCUGGCGACGAGUGGCGAACGGGUGAGUAAUGCAUCGGAACGUGCCUGGUAGUGGGGGAUAACUGCUCGAAAGAGCAGCUAAUACCGCAUACGACCUGAGGGUGAAAGGGGGGGAUCGCAAGACCUCUCGCUAUCAGAGCGGCCGAUGUCGGAUUAGCUAGUUGGUGGGGUAAAGGCCCACCAAGGCGACGAUCCGUAGCUGGUCUGAGAGGACGACCGGCCACACGGGGACUGAGACACGGCCCAGACUCAUACGGGAGGCAGCAGUGGGGAAUUUUGGACAAUGGACGCAAGUCUGAUCCAGCCAUGCCGCGUGCGGGAAGAAGGCCUUCGGGUUGUAAACCGCUUUUGUCAGGGAAGAAAUCUUCUGGACUAAUACUCUGGGAGGAUGACGGUACCUGAAGAAUAAGCACCGGCUAACUACGUGCCAGCAGCCGCUGUAA